rnacentral:rRNA from 1 species
AUGACUCUCGGUAACGGAUAUCUAGGCUCUCGCAUCGAUGAAGAACGUAGCGAAAUGCGAUACCUGGUGUGAAUUGCAGAAUCCCGCGAACCAUCGAGUCUUUGAACACAAGUUGUGCCCGAGGCCACCCGGUCGAGGGCACGCCUGCCUGGGUGUCACGC